GGUAUUUUUCAUAAAACGUCCCCAUUACUUCUUCUUUCUCUUCUUUUUCUUGUCCUUUCUCAUUUUCUUUUCCUUUUUCAGAUGAAGUCGGAGAAGAAAAGGAUGGGGUGAAAGGGGAGAGAGCAGGAGAAUGAACAGAGAAACGAAGAUGGAAACGAUUUUUAAUUUCUUUUUUUCUUUCCAUCUCAUCAAAUUGGCACAAACAAAAAAUUAAAUGCCUUAAAAACCCUCUUCUUCGAGCAAAAAUAAAAAAUAGCAUUGUGGUGUUUAAACAGCAAAUGUUUUCCUCGUUAAUGUCUUUAAGACAUAAAAUUGUGAUAAAUUCU
rnacentral:RNase_P_RNA from 13 species